CAGUCGCCACGGGAAUACGAAGGGUGCAAGCGUUACUCGGAAUUACUGGGCGUAAAGCGUGCGUAGGUGGUGGUUUAAGUCCGUUGUGAAAGCCCUGGGCUCAACCUGGGAAUUGCAGUGGAUACUGGAUCACUAGAGUGUGGUAGAGGAUAGUGGAAUUUCCGGUGUAGCAGUGAAAUGCGUAGAGAUCGGAGGGAACAUCUGUGGCGAAGGCGACUAUCUGGGCCAACACUGACACUGAGGCACGAAAGCGUGGGGAGCAAACAGGAUUAGAUACCCCUGUAGUCCCUGUCUCUUAUAC
rnacentral:rRNA from 1 species